AGGGAGCCGUUUAGGCGUCUUAAGCCUAAAUGAAGCAGAGAAGGUGUUGGAAAGGCCUUCCCAACACUUCUUUUAACAAAAGAAUCAAAGGAGGAGGGGGCCCUGUUUCGAACCGGGUCGCACUAAGUUCGAACGAAACCGGCCGAUUCGGGCCUUUUUUGGUCAGUUCGGAAUCCAUUCCUGUUGUUUCGGGGCCGGAACCGUUCUUAAUAGGCGAACCGACCUAGUUCCCCACCAGGUUAGCUCGGUAUGGGCCGAACCAGGCAGUUCGGUCCGGUUCGGCCUACCUUGCCCUCGCCUCUUCUACUAUAUCGGUACGAGCCCGGCAGGAGGCCGCACUGACUCGUGCCGCCUGGCAACCAGUCCGAGGACCGAUACCGGCACAACAGUCCUUGGUGCUAUGUGUCAUUAUGAAACUAGUUUUCAAAAACAUUGGCAAUUGAUCAACUCCAACUCUGAGAAUUUAAAAGCUGGCAUUGGUAACUAUGCUGGUCCCCAAUCAGCAAGGUAUGUGCCCCACUAUACGCCCAUGUUGACACAUGGCACAGGCUGGCACACUAGAACAACUUGAUAGAGCAACAUAGACCGACUUGGACACAG
rnacentral:lncRNA from 1 species